rnacentral:lncRNA from 1 species
AAAAGGAUCACUCCUUGUUUAAAAGAAAGCACCUGAGCCUCUCUGCUUGUGGUUCACAUGAAACCCUAAAAGGCAGAACUCUUUGUUCCCAGCUGCAGUGGACAAAACACGACACACCUUGCUCCUUCGUUCUCCUGUACAUCAGCCUCAGUGCCUCCUGGGCUGGGGAGCGGCCCUGAAACCCGCACUCUGCCCUUUGCUUUGAACUCAGCCCUUAAGGCCGCAUCCUCCAGGAUCCAGUAAGCUAAUACCUUUGGUUGAACCCCUGAGCAAGAACUCCUCAGCACACCCCGAGGCAAGAGUUCCCACCGCCAAAACUCAUCUUGUCCCAUAGCACCCUACCCACAGCCUUGUUCUGUGGACUCUUCAGCCGAGUGAAAUGGAGCUCUGACCCUUGGCCUCUCCAAGGAGCCCAAAGGGUUCCUGCAGCACAGUGCGCCUGGACUCACACAAGUACGGCGUGUGUGUGGUGGCGGAGGUGGGAGGUCAUCAGAAUACCUGCCACAUAGGGCAGAGAAGAUGUAAGUGAACAAAUUGAAAGUACUUACAGUGGGGUCUGGCAUAGACGACAUGCUCAAUAAAUGUUAGCUCCCAUAAUUAUCACAUGUAGAUGAUUUAUCAUGUGAAGAUCUUCGUGCUUUGGUCACCUUUCGGGGACUUGAAUCUGUUUUCCUACUCAAUGUCACAUCCCCAGGAACAGCAGUGACUGCAGCUUCCUUCUGGAUCCCGCUCACCGCGCUCAGGCAGUGCUCAGUAGGAGCCGCUGGCUGCCUGCCACUUGCCACAGUUCCAGAGCACAGUUGGAAUCCCUCCACGGAUCAGCGUCCGCAGUGGGCACGCCUGGAAGGAGCCAAGGAAUAAUCUGGGAAGCCAUCGUGAGGAAGAGCACUGUGAUGGACCGGAAGCCCACAAGCAGGAUGCGCUGCUUUCCUCAUCGGAAGAUGUCGGGACAGCCCAGACAGGCAGCAGCUCAGAAAGCUCAGGAGGCCAAAAGGAAGGAAAGUCAGGUUAAAGGAGACAGUGUUGACGUCGUAUGUCAGAGGCCCCUCCUGGAGCUGGAGCAUGGGUCCCAGUGA